AGUGGCAGACGGGUGAGUAAUGUAUAGGAAUCUACCUAGUAGUACGGAAUAAUUGUUGGAAACGGCAACUAAUACCGUAUACGCCCUACGGGGGAAAAAUUUAUUGCUAUUAGAUGAGCCUAUAUUAGAUUAGUUAGUUGGUGAGGUAAAGGCUUACCAAGACAAUGAUCUAUAGCUGAUCUGAGAGGAUGAUCAGCCACACUGGAACUGAGAUACGGUCCAGACUCCUACGGGAGGCAGCAGUGGGGAAUAUUGGACAAUGGGCGAAAGCCUGAUCCAGCCAUGCCGCAUGAGUGAAGAAGGCCUUCGGGUUGUAAAGCUCUUUUAGUGAGGAAGAUAAUGACGGUACUCACAGAAGAAGUCCUGGCUAACUCCGUGCCAGCAGCCGCGGUAAUACGGAGAGGGCUAGCGUUAUUCGGAAUCAUUGGGCGUAAAGGGCGCGUAGGCGGGUUAGUAAGUUAAAAGUGAAAUCCCAAGGCUCAACCUUGGAACUGCUUUUAAAACUGCUAGUCUAGAGAUUGAAAGAGGAUAGAGGAAUUCCUAGUGUAGAGAUGAAAUUCGUAAAUAUUAGGAGGAACACCAGUGGCGAAGGCGUCUAUCUGGUUCAAAUCUGACGCUGAGGC
rnacentral:rRNA from 1 species